rnacentral:rRNA from 1 species
GAUGAACGCUGGCGGCGUGCCUAAUACAUGCAAGUCGAGCGAACAGACGAGGAGCUUGCUCCUCUGACGUUAGCGGCGGACGGGUGAGUAACACGUGGAUAACCUACCUAUAAGACUGGGAUAACUUCGGGAAACCGGAGCUAAUACCGGAUAAUAUAUUGAACCGCAUGGUUCAAUAGUGAAAGACGGUUUUGCUGUCACUUAUAGAUGGAUCCGCGCCGCAUUAGCUAGUUGGUAAGGUAACGGCUUACCAAGGCAACGAUGCGUAGCCGACCUGAGAGGUGGAUCGGCCACCAUGGAACUGAGACACGGUCCAGACUCCUACGGGAGGCAGCAGGAGGGAAUCUUCCGCAAUGGGCGAAAGCCUGACGGAGCAACGCCGCGUGAGUGAUGAAGGUCUUCGGAUCGUAAAACUCUGUUAUUAGGGAAGAACAAAUGUGUAAGUAACUAUGCACGUCUGGACGGUACCUAAUCAGAAAGCCACGGCUAACUACGU